GCCUGGCUGGCUCAGUCGGUAGAGCACAUAACUCUUGAUUUCGGGGUUGUGAGUUCGAGCCCCAUGCGGGGUG
rnacentral:tRNA from 1 species